UUCUCCUGCCUCAGCCUCCGAGUAGCUGAGAUUACAGGUGUGCACCACUGUGCCCAGCUAGUUUUUUUAUUUUUAGUAGAGACGAGGUUUCACCAUGUCGGCCAGGCUGGUCUUGAACUCCUGACUUCAAGUGAUUUGCCCACCUCAGCCUCCCAAAGUGCUGGGAUUAAAGGUGUGUACUGCCACACCCAGCUCUUUUUAUUUUUUUGAACUUUUCUUGAAUCACUAUCUUCAGAGGGUGAUUUAAAUAGUUAAUUAACCAAUUAAUAACAAAUAGUUAUUCAUAUGAAUAAUGAGGUAAGUCAUUAAAUGAUUUAAAUAAUCAUUUUAAGACUUUCAGUGCAGGUGGGUGAGGACAUGGGCGCUUGUUUCAGAAACCCCUGUGGUAAGUGCCACCCAUUGCAGCCUUUCACAGGUGUCUUCUAAAUGGCACCUCACAUAAGCGUGCAAGGGAAGAAUGAGGGCCCUGCUUUAUAGAAGAAGAAAUGAGGUGUGGCGAAGCCUCUCUUAAGUGAUUGAGCUGAAAAACUGAACUCAUAUCUGUGCAGCUCCAAAGUCUAUGCUUUUUCAACUACACCAAACACCCUAAGUGCCCAAAACAAACCAAAGAACACUACUGUAUUUUGCAUCUACAUGUAAGUUGUAAAUCCAUUGAUCCUACCACUUUUUACUGUCCUUACCCCUACAUGUCCAUUUUUCCCUCCUCACCUUUACUAAAUCUUACAUCAUUAAAAUCUGCAGUGUAGAGUGCUUCCUCAUGUACAUUCUUGCCUAGUCCAUUUUGCGCUGCUAUAGCAUAAUACCCGAGAGUAGGUAAUUUAUAAUGAAUGGAAAUUUGUUUGACUCAUGCUUCUGGAGGCUGGGAAGUCCAAGAUCAAAAAGCUGCAUCUGGUGAGGGUAUUCUUACUGUGUUAUCCCAUGGUGGAAGGUGGAAGGACUAGAAACGACACAAGUGAGGAGAAGGAAAGGGGCUGAAUUCAUUCUUUUUUUUCUUUUUUUUAGACAGAGUCUCACUCUGUUGCCCAGGCUGGAGUGCAAUGGCAUGAUCUCAGCUCACUGCAACCUCCACCUCCCGGGUUCAAGUGAUUGAUCCACCUGCCUCAGCCUCCCACAGUGCUGGGAUUACAGCCGUGAGCCACCGCACCUGGCCUGAAUUCAUUAUUUUAUCAGGAGCCCACUCCUAUGAGAGUGACAUUACUCCAUCCAUGAGGGCCGAGCCCUCAUGACCCAAUCACCUCUCAAAGCUCCUGCCUCUCAAUGCUGUUGCAUUGGGGAUCAAAUUUCCAACAUAUGAACUUUGGGGAACAGAUUCAAACCUCAGUAUCUCUAAACUCUCUUUUCUCUCUCUUAACUAGUCAGUCUUACUUGCCAAGCAUCCACCUCUGGUAAAACCCAGAUCUCCACCCAUCUUAAACCCAUGCCCAGGCCACUGACCGUGGCUGGAGAAAAGUACAUGCUGGAUGAUAUAUGCUCCAGUGGUCCUCAACCUUCUCCAGACAUCCUUUGAAGUGCCCCUGGGCCUUCCCUCCUACUGUGUGCUUUCCUCCAACCUCACACCCUACUCCCAGCUCCUUCCUCUCAAGUGGUACCAAUGCUUCCUGUUUCCCCUAAAGCCCUCCAAAGAGAGCACCCGAGCUCCCCUGCCCUUCUGCCUUUACAGAACAGUCCCACUCCUGUGUAAGGACUACAGUCAUGUCCUCCCCCACCCACUCACCUAGCCCUGGCCUUUCUCCCUCUCUCCUGCAUCAUCAAUUCCUCUCUCUACUGAUUCAUUCAAACACAAGGUUCCCUCUCAACCCCAUCUUCAUGCCGCUACCACCCCAUUUCUUUCCUUCUUUAUAAAGAAGUUUAAACUUCUUAAGAGAGUCAUCUGUAUUCUCCACCCCUAAUUCCUUCCUUCUCAGUCCCUCAUCAAUCCCCUGUAAUAGGACAUUCGCCCUCACCCCUCACCAAAACUGAUCUUGUCACCACUGGCGUCACAUUACCAAACCCAGCGGCCAAUGCUCAGCCCUGCUCCUUCCUGGCCUGUUGGCAUUGGACUAAGCUGAUCCUUCCCUCUGCUUGGAAACACUUUAUUCUCUUGGCUUCUGGCACUUCCCUUUCCCAGGUAUUCCUGGGCCUCACAGGUGGCUCUUUUUCAGUCUUCUCUUCUGGUUCCUCCAUAUCUCCCCAACUUGUGAAUGUUGUAGUACCCCAGAGAUUAUCCUUUGUCUUUCCUUUUUAAUCAACUAUCCUCUCUUGGUGAGCUCAGUCAAUCUACAGCUUUAAACACAUCUAAACACUGCAAACUCUCACAUUUCCCUCUGCAGGCCAGAUGUCUUCUCUGAACUCCAAAGUCAGAGAUGUAUCUGCUUAUUCAACACCUUCACAUACGUAUCUAAUAGACAUCUCAAAAGUGAUACAUCCGAAGUUGAACUGCAUCCAUGAAAGUCCCCUUUUCCCCUCCAAGCCUGCCUUACAUCCCUGCCUUACCUCCAUCCCAGUUACCAGACAUUUCUGUGGUCCAAUUCUUUAGUCCCAAAACCUUGCUGUCACUAAAGUCAGUGGGGUUUCCUCAAACCCCACAUCCAAGCCAUCCACAAUUCACAUCUCCUUUUCCUUUAAAGUAUAUCCAGAAUCUGAUUACUCCUGAGCACUGCUACCAUCCUGCUAUGCACCAUUAUCCUGUCUCUCCUGGAUUAUUGCAAGCACCUCUGACUGGUGGGCUCUGCUUCUGCCUGUGCACCCAGCAGUCUAUUCCCUAUACAGCAGCUAUAGCAAACCUGUUAAAACUCAAGUCAGGUAGAUGAUACUCCUUUGCUGAAAAUCCUCUGAUGACCAGACUGAAAGCCAAAGUCCUUAAAAUGAUGUGGGAUGCCCGCAUGAUCUGGCCCCUGUCCCCUGUUGGUCCUCAGUUCCUCCUACUCUUCCCCUUACUCUCUCUGCCACAGUGACCCUUUCUGUUCCUUGAGCAUACCAGGCAUGUUUCCGCCCCAGGGCCUUUGCACUGGCUGUCUCUCUGCAUAGGAGCACCUCUCAGCUAUGAAUAUGGCUCACUCCUUCAAGUCUUUGGUUGAAUAUUACUUUCUCAGUGAGGCCUUUCCUGAGAAACGUAUUUGGAAUUAUAGCACCUUAUAUUUCCAAAUUCUGUUUUCCUGGUUUUAUUUUUCUCUAUAGCAUUUAUCAUCAUCAGUAUACUAUAUUUAUCAUUUUGUUGACUGUCUCCCCUAUUAGAAGAUAAGUCCCUUGAAUGGAGGGAAUUUGACUGGUUUGUUUGGUACUGUAUCCUCAGAGCCUAGAGCUGUGCCUGGCACAUAGUAAGUGCUCAGUAAGUAUUUGUUGGAUGAAUGAAUACUCAGCCCAAUUCUCUGAGAUGCCCACAUCCUUUCUUGGUAAGAAGUCAGCUGUUUCAGAAGCCCCCAGUGUCUUUCAGGUUAGAGUGGCAAAAAGUCUAAUGGUUAGUAUUCUCUGCCCCUUGGGCCUUGUAUUUAUAAUAGUGCCAGGCCUGAACUCUAGUGAACCUUAAACUCCAGACUAGGCUUGAUCCACUUUCUCCCACCUUCCAGGCAUGUGCAUAAACUCAAGGAUCAGAAGUAAAAUCAAAGAGACAGCCCUACUCCAAACCACCUGCCUGUUCAGGGUCCUUCCAGUUGUUAUUCUUCUCUGUCUUCCUUGAACUUGUCAUCUGGCUUUCCUAGGAAGGAGAGUAUGGCCAUCCAUCAGUGCCCUGGGCCGGCCCAUUCCUUGGACCAAAUCCUACCAGCAAGCAGAAGAAUGGCAGCUGCUACCCAGCUCACCCCACAGGCAGGGCCUGUGUCAUGGAGCUCAAGAACCAGGAGUUCUCAGUAACACAAUGGAAAUGAUGGUACCCAGCUCACCGGCUCUGAUUCUCUCUUAAUUUCCAAUACAACCAGAAUCUGGGGAUGGGAAAGGAGGAAACAGAAGAGGAAGGGCUAAGGAUGAAGCUAAGGAAAUAGGAUUUCCCCUUUCCCUAGGGAUGCCAUCAACUGUGUCUCCAGGAGAUUUAAAGGGCAGGGAACAUCACACACCGGGGCUUGUUGUGGGGUGGGGGG
rnacentral:lncRNA from 10 species